rnacentral:misc_RNA from 1 species
CAAGAAAAUUGGCAAAGAAGCCCAAGUCUUGAUCAUCAAACAUGGUAGCGCGCAGAGCAGCUGAGAUCCAGGAGACUUGCAAAGGUCAAGAGUGGAGACCAACAAAACUAGCGGCUAGCGUUGCGCACGAAAUCUGAAGAGCUUGCGACGUGUCGUUUAACGACGUGCAAAUAAUGAUAAAUGGUUUGUGCGGCUGUUGAGAUUCAUGCCUGGGUCUCCUCGGCCACAUCGUG